rnacentral:rRNA from 1 species
AGCGUACACGGUGGAUGCCCUGGCAGUCAGAGGCGAUGAAGGACGUGCUAAUCUGCGAUAAGCGUCGGUAAGGUGAUAUGAACCGUUAUAACCGGCGAUUUCCGAAUGGGGAAACCCAGUGUGUUUCGACACACUAUCAUUAACUGAAUCCAUAGGUUAAUGAGGCGAACCGGGGGAACUGAAACAUCUAAGUACCCCGAGGAAAAGAAAUCAACCGAGAUUCCCCCAGUAGCGGCGAGCGAACGGGGAGCAGCCCAGAGCCUGAAUCAGUGUGUGUGUUAGUGGAAGCGUCUGGAAAGGCGCGCGAUACAGGGUGACAGCCCCGUACACAAAAAUGCACAUACUGUGAGCUCGAUGAGUAGGGCGGGACACGUGGUAUCCUGUCUGAAUAUGGGGGGACCAUCCUCCAAGGCUAAAUACUCCUGACUGACCGAUAGUGAACCAGUACCGUGAGGGAAAGGCGAAAAGAACCCCGGCGAGGGGAGUGAAAAAGAACCUGAAACCGUGUACGUACAAGCAGUGGGAGCACGCUUAGGCGUGUGACUGCGUACCUUUUGUAUAAUGGGUCAGCGACUUAUAUUCUGUAGCAAGGUUAACCGAAUAGGGGAGCCGAAGGGAAACCGAGUCUUAACUGGGCGUUAAGUUGCAGGGUAUAGACCCGAAACCCGGUGAUCUAGCCAUGGGCAGGUUGAAGGUUGGGUAACACUAACUGGAGGACCGAACCGACUAAUGUUGAAAAAUUAGCGGAUGACUUGUGGCUGGGGGUGAAAGGCCAAUCAAACCGGGAGAUAGCUGGUUCUCCCCGAAAGCUAUUUAGGUAGCGCCUCGUGAAUUCAUCUCCGGGGGUAGAGCACUGUUUCGGCAAGGGGGUCAUCCCGACUUACCAACCCGAUGCAAACUGCGAAUACCGGAGAAUGUUAUCACGGGAGACACACGGCGGGUGCUAACGUCCGUCGUGAAGAGGGAAACAACCCAGACCGCCAGCUAAGGUCCCAAAGUCAUGGUUAAGUGGGAAACGAUGUGGGAAGGCCCAGACAGCCAGGAUGUUGGCUUAGAAGCAGCCAUCAUUUAAAGAAAGCGUAAUAGCUCACUGGUCGAGUCGGCCUGCGCGGAAGAUGUAACGGGGCUAAACCAUGCACCGAAGCUGCGGCAGCGACGCUUAUGCGUUGUUGGGUAGGGGAGCGUUCUGUAAGCCUGUGAAGGUGUACUGUGAGGUAUGCUGGAGGUAUCAGAAGUGCGAAUGCUGACAUAAGUAACGAUAAAGCGGGUGAAAAGCCCGCUCGCCGGAAGACCAAGGGUUCCUGUCCAACGUUAAUCGGGGCAGGGUGAGUCGACCCCUAAGGCGAGGCCGAAAGGCGUAGUCGAUGGGAAACAGGUUAAUAUUCCUGUACUUGGUGUUACUGCGAAGGGGGGACGGAGAAGGCUAUGUUGGCCGGGCGACGGUUGUCCCGGUUUAAGCGUGUAGGCUGGUUUUCCAGGCAAAUCCGGAAAAUCAAGGCUGAGGCGUGAUGACGAGGCACUACGGUGCUGAAGCAACAAAUGCCCUGCUUCCAGGAAAAGCCUCUAAGCAUCAGGUAACAUCAAAUCGUACCCCAAACCGACACAGGUGGUCAGGUAGAGAAUACCAAGGCGCUUGAGAGAACUCGGGUGAAGGAACUAGGCAAAAUGGUGCCGUAACUUCGGGAGAAGGCACGCUGAUAUGUAGGUGAAGUCCCUCGCGGAUGGAGCUGAAAUCAGUCGAAGAUACCAGCUGGCUGCAACUGUUUAUUAAAAACACAGCACUGUGCAAACACGAAAGUGGACGUAUACGGUGUGACGCCUGCCCGGUGCCGGAAGGUUAAUUGAUGGGGUUAGCGCAAGCGAAGCUCUUGAUCGAAGCCCCGGUAAACGGCGGCCGUAACUAUAACGGUCCUAAGGUAGCGAAAUUCCUUGUCGGGUAAGUUCCGACCUGCACGAAUGGCGUAAUGAUGGCCAGGCUGUCUCCACCCGAGACUCAGUGAAAUUGAACUCGCUGUGAAGAUGCAGUGUACCCGCGGCAAGACGGAAAGACCCCGUGAACCUUUACUAUAGCUUGACACUGAACAUUGAGCCUUGAUGUGUAGGAUAGGUGGGAGGCUUUGAAGUGUGGACGCCAGUCUGCAUGGAGCCGACCUUGAAAUACCACCCUUUAAUGUUUGAUGUUCUAACGUUGACCCGUAAUCCGGGUUGCGGACAGUGUCUGGUGGGUAGUUUGACUGGGGCGGUCUCCUCCUAAAGAGUAACGGAGGAGCACGAAGGUUGGCUAAUCCUGGUCGGACAUCAGGAGGUUAGUGCAAUGGCAUAAGCCAGCUUGACUGCGAGCGUGACGGCGCGAGCAGGUGCGAAAGCAGGUCAUAGUGAUCCGGUGGUUCUGAAUGGAAGGGCCAUCGCUCAACGGAUAAAAGGUACUCCGGGGAUAACAGGCUGAUACCGCCCAAGAGUUCAUAUCGACGGCGGUGUUUGGCACCUCGAUGUCGGCUCAUCACAUCCUGGGGCUGAAGUAGGUCCCAAGGGUAUGGCUGUUCGCCAUUUAAAGUGGUACGCGAGCUGGGUUUAGAACGUCGUGAGACAGUUCGGUCCCUAUCUGCCGUGGGCGCUGGAGAACUGAGGGGGGCUGCUCCUAGUACGAGAGGACCGGAGUGGACGCAUCACUGGUGUUCGGGUUGUCAUGCCAAUGGCACUGCCCGGUAGCUAAAUGCGGAAGAGAUAAGUGCUGAAAGCAUCUAAGCACGAAACUUGCCCCGAGAUGAGUUCUCCCUGACUCCUUGA